rnacentral:lncRNA from 13 species
CUAAUUAUUAAAUUUUGAUUUGGAAUGGCAUUAUGCUUUAAUCGUCUACGAUGCAAACUAAAAAUGUACGAGUUUUCAUUAAAAUGAAAAUAAUGUCCAGGAGCUCUAGCAGGAGAUGAGCAAUGUGGAAUUAUACAUUUCCAUCCCACUUUAUUGGCCAUUUUAUUCUAAAGUUAAAUUGUUCAAUAAAAUAAAAUUAAUAUUAUAAUGCAAAUGUUUUAUAUUCAAGGAAAA